UCGAGAAGCUUCGGCAAUGGGCGAAAGCCUGACCGAGCGACGCCGCGUGAGCGAUGAAGGCCCUUGUGGUUGUAAAGCUCUGUCAGAGGGGAUUAACACUGAGCGGCGAAUAGCCUCUCCGUCUGAAAGUACCCUCAGAGGAAGCUCCGGCUAACUCCGUGCCAGCAGCCGCGGUAAUACGGAGGGAGCGAACGUUGUUCGGAAUCACUGGGUGUAAAGGGUGCGUAGGCGGCCUUGUAUGUCGGAGGUGAAAUCUACCGGCUAAACCGGUCAAAUUGCGUCCGAAACUGCUUGGAUUGAGUCCGGAAGGGGAGGGUGGAAUUCCUGGUGUAACGGUGAAAUGUGCAGAUAUCAGGAGGAACACAGGUGGAGAAGGCGGCCAUCUGGUCCGGUACUGACGCUGAGGCACGAAAGCCAGGGGAUGAAACGGG
rnacentral:rRNA from 1 species